rnacentral:rRNA from 1 species
CAUGUCUUUUUGUAUAAUGAUUUAAAGUCUGCUCUGCCCAAUGAAUAUUUUAAAUGGCUGCAGUAUACUGACUGUACAAAGGUAGCAUAAUAAUUAGUCUUUUUAUUGAAGGCUUGAAUGAAUGAGUUGAUGAAAUAUUUACUGUCUCUAUUUUAGACUGUUAAUUUAAAUUUUAAGUAAAAAUGCUUAGAUUUUUGUAUGGGACGAGAAGACCCUAUAGAAUUUUAUAGAUUAAUUGAGUUUAUCUAUAUUUAAUUAAUCUAUUUUGUUGGGAGGACAUUUAAAUUUAUUUAACUUUAAAAUACUAAGUCAAUUAUUUUUGUUUUAAAAAGAUAGUUUAUUAUAAAUUUUUAGAUUUAAUUACCUUAGGGAUAACAGCGUAAUAUCUUUGGAGAGAUCAUAUUUAUAAAGAUGAUUACGACCUCGAUGUUGAAUUAAGGUAUAAUUUAAAUGCAGGAGUUUAAAUUUUAAGUCUGUUCGACUUUUAA